GACGAACGCUGGCGGCGUGCUUAACACAUGCAAGUCGAACGGAAAGGCCCUGCUUUUGUGGGGUGCUCGAGUGGCGAACGGGUGAGUAACACGUGAGUAACCUGCCCUUGACUUUGGGAUAACUUCAGGAAACUGGGUCUAAUACCGGAUAGGAGCUCCUGCUGCAUGGUGGGGGUUGGAAAGUUUCGGCGGUUGGGGAUGUUCUCGCGGCUUAUCAGCUUGUUGGUGGGGUAGUGGCUUACCAAGGCUUUGACGGGUAGCCGGCCUGAGUGGGUGACCGGCCACAUUGGGACUGAGAUACCGCCCAGAAUCCUACGGCAGGCAGCAGUGCGGAAUAUUGCACAAUGGGCGGAAGCCUGAUGAAGCAACGCCGCGUGCGGGAUGACGGCCUUCGGGUUGUAAACCGCUUUCGCAUGUGACGAAGCGUGAGUGACGGUAAUGGGUAAAGAAGCACCGGCUAACUACGUG
rnacentral:rRNA from 1 species